AGAGUUUGAUCAUGGCUCAGAGUGAACGCUGGCGGCGUGCCUAACACAUGCAAGUCGAACGAGAACGGAUUAUAGCUUGCUGUAAUUGUCAGCUAAGUGGCGCACGGGUGAGUAAUAUAUAGUUAACCUGCCUCAAAGAAGAGAAUAAUUGUUGGAAACGACUUGUAAUGCUCUAUAUGCCUUUAUCACAUAAGUGAGCAAGGGAAAUAUUUAUAGCUUUGAGAUGGGACUGUACGGUAUCAGUUUGUUGGUGAGGUAAUGGCUCACCAAGACUAUGACGCCUAACUGGUUUGAGAGGAUGAUCAGUCACACUGGAACUGAGACACGGUCCAGACUCCUACGGGAGGCAGCAGUGGGGAAUAUUGCACAAUGGAGGAAACUCUGAUGCAGCAACGCCGCGUGGAGGAUGACACAUUUCGGUGCGUAAACUCCUUUUAUUAGGGAAGAUAAUGACGGUACCUAAUGAAUAAGCACCGGCUAACUCCGUGCCAGCAGCCGCGGUAAUACGGGGGGUGCAAGCGUUACUCGGAAUCACUGGGCGUAAAGAGCAUGUAGGCUGGUUUGUAAGUUGGAAGUGAAAUCCUAUGGCUUAACCAUAGAACUGCUUCCAAAACUGCAGACCUAGAGUAUGGGAGAGGUAGAUGGAAUUUCUGGUGUAGGGGUAAAAUCCGUAGAGAUCAGAAG
rnacentral:rRNA from 1 species